AGUUGUCCAGGUUCUGGCGUCGCUGCGGGUGGCGAAACUGAAGUAGGCUAGGUCGACGGACUACCCAAGGCCAGAGAGUGUGGGCGGGAGGCCGUCGGAAUUCUGUGACUUUCUGGGGUGCAGGCAGCACAACGCUGUGCAGUGCCUGGACGGAAGCCAGACAGCAUUGCUAUGCACCGCUGGGCGGUCCCUAAGUUUCCAUGCCUGGUUGUUCUCAAGGUUUGCUCCGGAUCUGAUAGUCGCCCGUGACCCCUUUCCGCAGGUACAUGGCUUGUCUUGGGUUCGCGGUGGAACAUCCAAGUGCCAAGUUGGGUUGGCAAAACAGCUAAGGUGAAGGAGUUGGAGUCACUCGUGAGGAAUAUCUUUAGAGAACAGUCGGCUCUUCAGAACCAAAGAGCACAGGACUUUCAAGGACCCCACUAGUGUCUCGUGAGUGGUCCUGAAGCUCUCCGCCGUUUUGAGCUUAUGGCAGCGGUUUAUUGUAAGCCCUGGAGGUGCGCUGCUGUGCAAGCUGCAGGACUCUCCACAAAGUUUCUCAGGAUGACUACACAAACUUACUUAUGUGCUGCCUUUAGAGGACGUUGCCACAUUUCGCCCCUGGCGACAUUGUGGCAGAUCUUUUUCCUUCCCCAUUUCUGCUUUUUCCUGAGUUACUUGUCUUUUACCAUCGUCCCUCUUGGGUUGCACUGAUCAAUUUAGUUCCCUGUCUCCUCCUAGGGCUAUCCAGCAUGUAGUCGGGGGUCUACAAGGGACACAAGGAGAAGUGGGUUUGUUUGUUUGUUUGUUUGUUUGUUGCUUUUUUGUUUUUUUGCAGCCUGGCAGCCAGCCUCUGGAGCUCAUCUCACAUAAUGGCCUGCAAAUGUCGUUAUCAGGCACCAGAAAGCAGGGAACUCUUGCGACGCUUCGAUGUGAGGUAGUAUUUCAUUUUAUAUCUUGAGGCUUCCAAGGAUACUGGAGACUCAGACAUCAUCUCAUGCUAAGCUGUUUGAGACAAACCACAAGUGAUCCCAGUCCUUGGAAGCUGGAGGCAGGCGAUCAGAAUUCCAAGGACUACACAGCAAGUUUGAGACUAGCCUGAGAUACAGGAGACCUAGUCUCAGGAGUUAAAAAAAUAAAAUAAAGACAAGCCUUG
ensembl:processed_transcript 2610507I01Rik RIKEN cDNA 2610507I01 gene